UUUGUGUUGUUUGCUGCACUUGGGUUGUUUAAGUGCUUUGUGAACUGUCUUUCUUUGCUUUUGUUGCACAAGUGUUUCAUAUUUUUACUUUUUUGUUAAUUGUUUAUUCUUAAAUCCAUGCUACUGUAAUCAAUUAUUAUUUUUUAAUUAGUGAAAAUUUAACAAUGAAUUUUCCAUCUUCACCAAAAAAAAAAAAAAAAACUUAAUCAUCCACAGUUAUUUAAACUACCUCUACGCAAUGAAUGUACAACUAGGAGGAGCUCAGAAUCAUUUAUAUCAAACUUUUUAGAAAAGUUUGAUGUUUGUUUGUAAACUUUUUCGUUGUAUCCAACGAUUGCAUUUAAU
rnacentral:lncRNA from 1 species